rnacentral:rRNA from 1 species
CACGUAGGGUGCGAGCGUUGUCCGGAAUUAUUGGGCGUAAAGAGCUCGUAGGCGGUGUGUCGCGUCGGCCGUGAAAACCUGCAGCUUAACUGUGGGCUUGCGGUCGAUACGGGCAUCACUGGAGUUCGGCAGGGGAGACUGGAAUUCCUGGUGUAGCGGUGAAAUGCGCAGAUAUCAGGAAGAACACCGGUGGCGAAGGCGGGUCUCUGGGCCGAUACUGACGCUGAGGAGCGAAAGCGUGGGGAGCGAACAGG